AAACAUUUUCAUUAGCAGUAGUAAAUCUCCCUCGCUCUUUGAAAUCUCUCUCCUCUCUCCCUCCCUCCAUCUCUCUCGCUCUCCUGUCUCGCGAUCUCUCCGCUUCCCCUUCCUCCCCGUACUCUUCUCCCAUGGAGUUGCCCCUUGCUAAUUUAGUAUUUUCCGGUCGAUUCAGCUUGCACACGGCGUAGUGAAGAUUCAAAUCGAUUACAAUCAGUCAGAAAACUUGGCAAUGCACCUUCCUGUUAAUCGUCUUUCCCCUCCAGCUCUUGAUUGGGUUGAGGUUCGAUUCACUCAUUCAUUGUGUUCUAAAGCCUAGGUAUUUACAAUUUUAGGAUAUACUAUAUGCUUUACAAUCAACCGUGUGUCGGAAAUUAUGUGGAUAUGCUGGAGCUAGAAAUCACAAAUCUUAGGAAUUGUGUCGACAUUGUGCUACGGGUUUACCGAUCAAACAUUCAUUUAUGAUUAUUUUGAUUUCUGAACUUUUUUAGAGUUUGUUUUUGUGGUAUUUUUUGCAAUUGUGAUGACCUGGAGAUGCAUGUGGCUUGGUAUUUCAUGUGUUAGGAUUAGGAUUAGGAUUAGGAUUAGGAUUAGGAUUAGGAUUAGUUUCAUUGCUUGUAUCGAGAUCAUAAAUGUUUGAGUAGCUUGUGUUUGAAUUUCUCCAGCAUCUUGAUUGAGGUUCAAUUCCUUCAUUCAUUGUGUUAUGAGGUCCAGCGAUUUGCAACUUAGGAUAUAUAUCUGUAUAUACUUUACAAUCAACUGUGUGUCGGAAAUUGGGUGGAUACGAGCUAGAAAUCACAAAUCUUAGGAAUUUUUCCGACAUUGUGCUAUGGGUAUACCGAUCAAACAUUCAUGGUUUAGUUAUUAUUGCAUUGAUUUCUGAACUUUUUUAGAGUUUGUUUUUGUGGUAUUUUUUGCAAUUGUGAAGACCUGGAGAUGCAUGUGGCUUGGUAUUUCAUGUGUUAGGAUUAUGAUUAGUUACCAUAUACUUUAUGAAUUCAUUCAAGUUCAUUCGGUUUACUUUGUGUUCCAUUUCAAUCUUAUUUCUUCUCCUAUUUAAUCGAUGUUUAUGUUUACUUUUCUUACUUUUAGGCAAUUCUGCACGGGCGAGUACAGGUUCGUAACUCUAUUUACAGGCAAAAUAAGUUACUAAUCUGUACAAGAUGCAGGUUAAAUGUGACAUGAUAGCAAUAAUGCAGCAAAUCAUUCUUCAUCAUCAUAAUCUUCAUCUUCCUCAUUCAUUCUCUUAUAUGAAACGGACUUCAUUAAGAGAUCUGUAUAAGUAUGGAUGCAAGUUGUAAAUGCUUCAUAAUUAGUUCAAUCCAGUUUUGAUAGUUGGUAGGAAAUGUGAGCAAUACCUUUGGAGGCAGAGUAGCAGAUUUGAUCCUGGAAAAAGUUGCAUGUUUUAUCAACUGUAUCCAUCAUAAUUUGUUGAAUUUCAGAUGGAAACACAAAGCAAUUCUGCUUCAGAAUCUAUAGAGGAUGAAUAUGAUGUCUCACAACACAAUUAUGAGAUGAAAUGCAAUUUAACAGUGAAGAUGAUGACGAUGAUCUCAUAAUUCAAAGUACUGAUGGGAGCACUCGAGUAAAGAGAGGACCAUUCCGUUCCAAAUAUGUUUGGAACUUGAGAAAUGGUGAUCGAAUUGUCGUCGAAUGCAAUGAGUAUAAUCAGCCUGACAAUAAAGGUGGAAGGGUUUUGGGUGGUUGGUUGGGUAAAGUUGCUCGAAGAACAAACUUUUGCCCUCUUAACUACAUUAUAUAAUAUAGUUAUAACAUUUUAUUUAUGUUUAACAGAGAUUGUAGCACAAAGUAGAAGAACUUGAUGACUGGGAGGAUGGUAGGAAGAAGUAUUGGCAUGUUCAGAAAUAAGGCUUGUAUUUGGAAUGAAGUAAAUAAAUGUAAAAGAGGGGUUAUUUGCUUUGACUUAAUUGAAUAUUUGCAAAUACAUACUGUCUUAUCAAUGAUUAAUCUCAUAUUUUUUCACUUUA